ensembl:lncRNA
AUGGUGUUCUCGUAAGUCAGGCUGCCCCGCUGAAGCACGAGAGAGCUUUGGUUAGAGCUCAGAGUCAGCUCUGCUGCGAGUGCUGCCGGCAAUCGGCCCGGGCUGAGCUGUCCACUCGUCCAGGUGCUGAAACUGGCAGAACACUUGGGGCUCUCUCGCUGCCAUGACACUCAAUCAAAGCACCUAGAGUGGGCUGGCCGAUACCAGAGGGGGUACCAAGCAGAGCAAGGACAGAGAAAGGCACUGGGAGAGCACCAGAAUUGGAAAUAGAGCAGCCAUUUGGAUUUGGGCAGGAAGCAGCCGUGCACAGCUUUGGAUCC